CCUGGUAGCGGGGGAUAACUAUUGGAAGCGAUAGCUAAUACCACAUAAUAUUGAUUAUUGCAUGAUAAUUGAUUGAAAGAUGCAACUGCAUCACUACCAGAUGGACCUGCGUUGUAUUAGCUAGUAGGUGAGGUAACGGCUCACCUAGGCGACGAUACAUAGCCGACCUGAGAGGGUGAUCGGCCACACUGGGACUGAGACACGGCCCAG
rnacentral:rRNA from 1 species